CCCCUCUCAAGAUCACAACUGCAGGGUUUUCAGUACCCUACCAGUUUUAGCUACGGGAGGGAGAGUCAAGCAGAGGCAUGCCCAUUCCAUUCCUAGCUUGGGCAGUGGCUAGCAAAUGGAAUACAAUCUGCUACAAGU